AUAUUGCACAAUGGGCGCAAGCUUGAUGCAGCGACGCCGCGUGGGGGAUGACGGCCUUCGGGUUGUAAACCUCUUUCAGUAUCGACGAAGCCUUGUGGUUUUCUGCGGGGUGACGGUAGGUACAGAAGAAGCACCGGCCAACUACGUGCCAGCAGCCGCGGUAAUACGUAGGGUGCGAGCGUUGUCCGGAAUUACUGGGCGUAAAGAGCUCGUAGGUGGUUUGUCGCGUUGUUCGUGAAAACUCACAGCUUAACUGUGGGCGUGCGGGCGAUACGGGCAGACUGGAGUACUGUAGGGGAGACUGGAAUUCCUGGUGUAGCGGUGGAAUGCGCAGAUAUCAGGAGGAACACCGGUGGCGAAGGCGGGUCUCUGGGCAGUAACUGACGCUGAGGAGCGAAAGCGUGGGGAGCGAACAGG
rnacentral:rRNA from 1 species